rnacentral:tRNA from 1 species
UGCCUGAUGGUGUAAAGGCAACACAUUCGAUGCUGAAUCGGAAGACUCUUGGUUCGAAUCCUUGUCAGGCAACAA